AGUGCAUGUGGUGGAUGCCUUGGCAGUCAGAGGCGAUGAAAGACGUGAUAGCCUGCGAAAAGCUCCGGGGAGGCGGCAAAUAUCCUUUGAUCCGGAGAUUUCUGAAUGGGGGAACCCACCCGCUAUAAGGCGGGUAUCAUAAGCUGAAUACAUAGGCUUAUGAAGCGAACGAGGGGAAGUGAAACAUCUCAGUACCCUUAGGAAAAGAAAUCAAUUGAGAUUCCCUUAGUAGCGGCGAGCGAACGGGGAGCAGCCCAUUAAGUUAUGUGUGUUCUAGUGGAACGCUCUGGGAAGUGCGAACGUAGAGGGUGAUAUUCCCGUACACGAAAGGGCACACAUAAUGAUGACGAGUAGGGCGAGGCACGUGAAACCUUGUCUGAAUAUGGGGGGACCAUCCUCCAAGGCUAAAUACUCCUGACUGACCGAUAGUGAACCAGUACCGUGAGGGAAAGGCGAAAAGAACCCCUGUGAGGGGAGUGAAAUAGAUCCUGAAACCGCAUGCAUACAAGCAGUGGGAGCACCUUCGUGGUGUGACUGCGUACCUUUUGUAUAAUGGGUCAGCGACUUAUAUUCAGUAGCAAGGUUAACCGCAUAGGGGAGCCGUAGAGAAAUCGAGUCUUAAUAGGGCGUUUAGUUGCUGGGUAUAGACCCGAACCCAGGCGAUCUAUCCAUGAGCAGGUUGAAGGUUGGGUAACACUAACUGGAGGACCGAACCCACUGUCGUUGAAAAGCCAGGGGAUGACUUGUGGAUAGGGGUGAAAGGCUAAUCAAGCCUGGUGAUAGCUGGUUCUCCCCGAAAGCUAUUUAGGUAGCGCCUCGGACGAAUACCAUUGGGGGUAGAGCACUGUUUCGGCUAGGGGGUCAUCCCGACUUACCAAACCGAUGCAAACUCCGAAUACCAAUGAGUACUAUCCGGGAGACAGACUGCGGGUGCUAACGUCCGUAGUCAAGAGGAAAACAAUCCAGACCGCCAGCUAAGGCCCCAAAAUCAUAGUUAAGUGGGAAACGAUGUGGGAAGGCAUAGACAGCUAGGAGGUUGGCUUAGAAGCAGCCACCCUUUAAAGAAAGCGUAAUAGCUCACUAGUCGAGUCGGCCUGCGCGGAAGAUGUAACGGGGCUAAAACUAUGUGCCGAAGCUGCGGAUGUAUACUUUGUAUACGUGGUAGGGGAGCGUUCUGUAAGCCGAUGAAGGUGUAUUGAGAAGUAUGCUGGAGGUAUCAGAAGUGCGAAUGCUGACGUGAGUAACGACAAAACGGGUGAAAAACCCGUUCGCUGAAAGACCAAGGGUUCCAGUCCAACGUUAAUCGGGGCUGGGUGAGUCGACCCCUAAGGCGAGGCCGAGAGGCGUAGUCGAUGGGAAAUUGGUUAAUAUUCCAAUACUUCUGUGUAAUGCGAUGAGAGGACGGAGAAGGUUAAGUCAGCCUGGCGUUGGUUGUCCAGGUGGAAGGCAGUAGGCAUGCAUCUUAGGCAAAUCCGGGGUGCUCUAUGCUGAGAGCUGAUAGCAAGCUGUACUUGUACAGUGAAGUGGCUGAUACCAUGCUUCCAGGAAAAGUCUCUAAGCUUCAGUUACACAGGAAUCGUACCCGAAACCGACACAGGUGGUCAGGUCGAGUAGACCAAAGCGCUUGAGAGAACUCUGCUGAAGGAACUAGGCAAAAUGGUACCGUAACUUCGGGAGAAGGUACGCUGCUGACGGUGAUGGGACUUGCUCCCUGAGCUGUUGGCAGCCACAGAAACCAGGCCGCUGCAACUGUUUAUUAAAAACAUAGCACUCUGCAAACACGAAAGUGGACGUAUAGGGUGUGAUGCCUGCCCGGUGCUGGAAGGUUAAUUGAUGGGGUUAGCGUAAGCGAAGCUCUUGAUCGAAGCCCCAGUAAACGGCGGCCGUAACUAUAACGGUCCUAAGGUAGCGAAAUUCCUUGUCGGGUAAGUUCCGACCUGCACGAAUGGCAUAAUGAUGGCGGCGCUGUCUCCAGCAGAGGCUCAGUGAAAUCGAAAUCGCUGUGAAGAUGCAGUGUACCCGCGGCUAGACGGAAAGACCCCGUGAACCUUUACUGCAGCUUGACAUUGAACUUUGACCUUACUUGUGUAGGAUAGGUGGGAGGCUUUGAAGUUAGAACGCUAGUUCUAAUGGAGCCGUCCUUGAAAUACCACCCUGGUAAUGUUGAGGUUCUAACUCUGCCCCGUAAUCCGGGGCGAGGACCAUGUCUGGUGGGUAGUUUGACUGGGGCGGUCUCCUCCUAAAGAGUAACGGAGGAGUACGAAGGUGCGCUCAGCGUGGUCGGAAAUCACGCGUAGAGUAUAAAGGCAAAAGCGCGCUUAACUGCGAGACCCACAAGUCGAGCAGGUACGAAAGUAGGUCUUAGUGAUCCGGUGGUUCUGUAUGGAAGGGCCAUCGCUCAACGGAUAAAAGGUACUCUGGGGAUAACAGGCUGAUACCGCCCAAGAGUUCAUAUCGACGGCGGUGUUUGGCACCUCGAUGUCGG
rnacentral:rRNA from 1 species